UACAUUACAUAGAAGGUCGGUGAGUCAUGCAGAAGUUGGCAAUUGCUACUACAUGAAAAUAGAGUUGCCACUUGCUAUGAGUUAAUUAAUGUUUUUCCUUUGGAAGGUUUAUUUGCUUAAUAAUGAUAUAAUAUGUACCUGUAUCCGGUAGAUUUGAAGAAGGUCCUUGUCCUUUGAGUGGGCGUGUAUUUCUUGUUGGAUGACUUUAUGAUAUAACUU
rnacentral:lncRNA from 1 species